GACGAACGCUGGCGGCGUGCUUAACACAUGCAAGUCGAACGGAAAGGCCCCUUUGGGGGUACUCGAGUGGCGAACGGGUGAGUAACACGUGAGUAACCUGCCCUUGACUUCGGGAUAACUUCAGGAAACUGGGGCUAAUACCGGAUAGGAAUCCUUGCUGCAUGUUGGGGGUUGGAAAGCUUCGGCGGUUUUGGAUGGACUCGCGGCUUAUCAGCUUGUUGGUGGGGUAGUGGCUUACCAAGGCUUUGACGGGUAGCCGGCCUGAGAGGGCGACCGGCCACAUUGGGACUGAGAUACGGCCCAGACUCCUACGGGAGGCAGCAGUGGGGAAUAUUGCACAAUGGGCGGAAGCCUGAUGCAGCAACGCCGCGUGCGGGAUGACGGCCUUCGGGUUGUAAACCGCUUUCAGCAGGGGCGAAGCUUGUGGUGACGGUACCUGCAGAAGAAGCACCGGCUAACUACGUG
rnacentral:rRNA from 1 species